AGUGGCAAAGUGAGGGAGGGAAAGGGUGACUAGUGACAGAGUGAGGGGAUGACUGGUGACAGAGUGAGGGGGGGGGGUGACUGUCACUAGUCACCCCAUCCCUCUCUCUGUCACUAGUCACUCCCUCCCUAACUCUGUCACUGUGUCACCCGCUCCCUCACUCUGUCACUAGUCACCCCCUUACUCUGUCACUGUGUCACCCCCUCCCUCUCUCUGUCACU